CUCCUCCCCGAAACCAGCCUCCUCCUGAAUUUGCUCUAUAUUUGGGCUUUUCUCUUCCUUUGGACACAGAAGAGCACGAUAGCAACCAAGACCUUAAUUCUCUUGGGGACCAGGAACCGGAAAUGUGCCUUUCUGGAUGGAAUGCGACUCCUCCAAGGUUCCAGAUAUUUCAUAACGGCAGGAAAAAAAAAAUGAUUUGCUGGAAAGCUGCUUUGUAGCAUGUUGACGCGACUGUCACCGAUCUGAGGUGCUACCUAGGACCACGCCUUUUGAAACAAUACUCCGGAUGGUUCUAACGCAGGUGGUCUGAGUUCAGCUUUAAGAAACCCUGGGCGUGAGACUCAAGGUACCACGGUGACGGUGAGGCGUAACCUUUACCAGAGAUGGAGAAAACUGUCCAAAGGAAAAGUCGUUUCGCUUCUGUUUAAAACAACAUCUUAGAGAGUCAGCUAUUCAGGGAACCACCUGAAGAAAAAUGUUAACUUCCCUAAUUCUGUAAAAGAAGGAAUACUGAUUUAAUAAAGUAGGUAAAAUACAAAAAUGGA